AUACAAUGAAUUUACAUGCUUAGAUUUCCAGAAACUAGCUGAGGCAAUCGGAGAUAUAAUCUAAAAGUCAAGGAAAGUGUGGGCCCCUUACUGAAUGAGGGAGGCAACAUAGUGACCGAGGAUGUGGAAAAAGCUAAUGUACUCAAUGAUUUUUUUGCCUCUGUCUUCACGAACAAGGUCAGCUCCCAGACUGCUGCACUGGGCAGCACAGUAUGGGGAGAAGGUGACCAGCCCUCUGUGGAGAAAGAAGUGGUUCGGGACUAUUUAGAAAAACUGGACGAGCACAAGUCCAUGGGGCCGGAUGCGCUGCAUCCGAGGGUGCUAAAGGAGUUGGCGGAUGUGAUUACAGAGCCAUUGGCCAUUAUCUUUGAAAACUCAUGGCAAUCGGGGGAGGUCCCGGAUGACUGGAAAAAGGCUAAUGUAGUGCCCAUCUUUAAAAAAGGGAAGAAGGAGGAUCCGGGGAACUACAGGCCAGCCAGCCUCACCUCAGUCCCUGGAAAAAUCAUGGAGCAGGUCCUCAAGGAAUCAAUUUUGAAGCACUUAGAAGAGAGGAAAGUGAUCAGGAACAGGCAGCAUGGAUUCACCAAGGGCAAGUCAUGCCUGACUAACCUAAUUGCCUUCUAUGAGGAGAUAACUGGCUCUGUGGAUGAGGGGAAAGCAGUGGAUGUGUUAUUCCUUGACUUUAGCAAAGCUUUUGAUAUGGUCUCCCACUGUAUUCUUGCCAGCAAGUUAAAGAAGUAUGGGCUGGAUAAAUGGACUAUAAGGUGGAUAGAAAGCUGGAUAGAUCGUCGGGCUCAACGGGUAGUGAUCAAUGGCUCCAUGUCUAGUUGGCAGCCGGUUUCAAGCGGAGUGCCCCAAGGGUCAGUCCUGGGGCUGGUUUUGUUCAAUAACUUCAUUAAUGAUCUGGAGGAUGGCGUGGACUGCACUCUCAGCAAGUUUGCAGAUGACACUAAACUGGGAGGAGUGGUAGAUAUGCUGGAGGGUAGGGAUAGGAUACAGAGGGACGUAGACAAAUUAGAGGAUUGGGCCAAAAGAAACCUGAUGAGG
rnacentral:lncRNA from 1 species